rnacentral:rRNA from 1 species
AUACGUAGGGGGCAAGCGUUAUCCGGAAUCACUGGGUGUAAAGGGUGCGUAGGCGGUAGGGCAAGUCAGAUGUGAAAGCCCGGGGCUCAACUCCGGGACUGCAUUUGAAACUGUCUUACUAGAGUGCAGGAGAGGAAAGCGGAAUUCCUAGUGUAGCGGUGAAAUGCGUAGAUAUUAGGAAGAACACCAGUGGCGAAGGCGGCUUUCUGGACUGUAACUGACGCUGAGGCACGAAAGCGUGGGGAGCGAACAGGAUUAGAUACCCUGGUAGUCCACGCCGUAAACGAUGAGUGCUAGGUGUCGGGGUCUUAUGAUCUCGGUGCUGAAGUCAACGCAUUAAGCACUCCACCUGGGGAGUACGUUCGCAAGAAUGAA